rnacentral:rRNA from 1 species
AACGAACGCUGGCGGCAUGCCUAACACAUGCAAGUCGAACGAGACCUUCGGGUCUAGUGGCGCACGGGUGCGUAACGCGUGGGAACCUGCCCUUAGGUUCGGAAUAACUCCCCGAAAGGGGUGCUAAUACCGGAUAAUGUCUUCGGACCAAAGAUUUAUCGCCUUUGGAUGGGCCCGCGUUGGAUUAGCUAGUUGGUAGGGUAAAAGCCUACCAAGGCGACGAUCCAUAGCUGGUCUGAGAGGAUGAUCAGCCACACUGGGACUGAGACACGGCCCAGACUCCUACGGGAGGCAGCAUUGGGGAAUAUUGGACAAUGGGCGAAAGCCUGAUCCAGCAAUGCCGCGUGAGUGAUGAAGGCCUUAGGGUUGUAAAGCUCUUUUACCCGGGAUGAUAAUGACAGUACCGGGAGAAUAAGCUCCGGCUAACUCCGUG